AUGAACGCUAGCGACAGGCUUAACACAUGCAAGUCGAGGGGCAGCACAGGUAGCAAUACCGGGUGGCGACCGGCGCACGGGUGAGUAACGCGUAUGCAACUUGCCUAUCAGAGGGGGAUAACCCGGCGAAAGUCGGACUAAUACCGCAUGAAGCAGGGAUCCCGCAUGGGAAUAUUUGCUAAAGAUUCAUCGCUGAUAGAUAGGCAUGCGUUCCAUUAGGCAGUUGGCGGGGUAACGGCCCACCAAACCGACGAUGGAUAGGGGUUCUGAGAGGAAGGUCCCCCACAUUGGUACUGAGACGCGGACCAAACUCCUACGGGAGGCAGCAGUGAGGAAUAUUGGUCAAUGGCCGAGAGGCUGAACCAGCCAAGUCGCGUGAGGGAUGAAGGUUCUAUGGAUCGUAAACCUCUUUUAUAAGGGAAUAAAGUGCGGGACGUGUCCCGUUUUGUAUGUACCUUAUGAAUAAGGAUCGGCUAACUCCGUGCCAGCAGCCGCGGUAAUACGGAGGAUCCGAGCGUUAUCCGGAUUUAUUGGGUUUAAAGGGUGCGUAGGCGGCCUUUUAAGUCAGCGGUGAAAGUCUGUGGCUCAACCAUAGAAUUGCCGUUGAAACUGGGGGGCUUGAGUAUGUUUGAGGCAGGCGGAAUGCGUGGUGUAGCGGUGAAAUGCAUAGAUAUCACGCAGAACCCCGAUUGCGAAGGCAGCCUGCCAAGCCAUUACUGACGCUGAUGCACGAAAGCGUGGGGAUCAAACAGGAUUAGAUACCCUGGUAGUCCACGCAGUAAACGAUGAUCACUAGCUGUUUGCGAUACACUGUAAGCGGCACAGCGAAAGCGUUAAGUGAUCCACCUGGGGAGUACGCCGGCAACGGUGAAACUCAAAGGAAUUGACGGGGGCCCGCACAAGCGGAGGAACAUGUGGUUUAAUUCGAUGAUACGCGAGGAACCUUACCCGGGUUUGAACGCAUUCGGACCGAGGUGGAAACACCUUUUCUAGCAAUAGCCGUUUGCGAGGUGCUGCAUGGUUGUCGUCAGCUCGUGCCGUGAGGUGUCGGCUUAAGUGCCAUAACGAGCGCAACCCUUGCCACUAGUUACUAACAGGUAAAGCUGAGGACUCUGGUGGGACUGCCAGCGUAAGCUGCGAGGAAGGCGGGGAUGACGUCAAAUCAGCACGGCCCUUACAUCCGGGGCGACACACGUGUUACAAUGGCGUGGACAAAGGGAAGCCACCUGGCGACAGGGAGCGAAUCCCCAAACCACGUCUCAGUUCGGAUCGGAGUCUGCAACCCGACUCCGUGAAGCUGGAUUCGCUAGUAAUCGCGCAUCAGCCAUGGCGCGGUGAAUACGUUCCCGGGCCUUGUACACACCGCCCGUCAAGCCAUGGGAGCCGGGGGUACCUGAAGUCCGUAACCGCGAGGAUCGGCCUAGGGUAAAACUGGUGACUGGGGCU
rnacentral:rRNA from 1 species